UGCGUAACGCGUGGGAAUCUGCCCUUGGGUUCGGAAUAACAGUGAGAAAUUACUGCUAAUACCGAAUGAUGACGUAAGUCCAAAGAUUUAUCGCCCAGGGAUGAGCCCGCGUAGGAUUAGCUAGUUGGUGAGGUAAAAGCUCACCAAGGCGACGAUCCUUAGCUGGUCUGAGAGGAUGAUCAGCCACACUGGGACUGAGACACGGCCCAGAGUGAUGAAGGCCUUAGGGUUGUAAAGCUCUUUUACCCGGGAUGAUAAUGACAGUACCGGGAGAAUAAGCUCCGGCUAACUCCGUGCCAGCAGCCGCGGUAAUACGGAGGGAGCUAGCGUUAUUCGGAAUUACUGGGCGUAAAGCGCACGUAGGCGGCUUUGUAAGUUAGAGGUGAAAGCCUGGAGCUCAACUCCAGAACUGCCUUUAAGACUGCAUCGCUUGAAUCCAGGAGAGGUGAGUGGAAUUCCGAGUGUAGAG
rnacentral:rRNA from 1 species